rnacentral:rRNA from 1 species
UGGGGAAUUUUGGACAAUGGGCGCAAGCCUGAUCCAGCAAUGCCGCGUGAGUGAAGAAGGCCUUCGGGUUGUAAAGCUCUUUUGUCAGGGAAGAAACGGCCUGGGUUAAUACCUUGGGCUAAUGACGGUACCUGAAGAAUAAGCACCGGCUAACUACGUGCCAGCAGCCGCGGUAAUACGUAGGGUGCAAGCGUUAAUCGGAAUUACUGGGCGUAAAGCGUGCGCAGGCGGUUUUGUAAGUCUGUCGUGAAAUCCCCGGGCUCAACCUGGGAAUUGCGAUGGAGACUGCAAGGCUGGAGUCUGGCAGAGGGGGGUAGAAUUCCACGUGUAGCAGUGAAAUGCGUAGAGAUGUGGAGGAACACCGAUGGCGAAGGCAGCCCCCUGGGUCAAGACUGACGCUCAUGCACGAAAGCGUGGGGAGCAAACA